AAAAAAAAUGGGGACAGGUUUCGGUAGGUGAACCUGCGGAAGGAUCAUUA
rnacentral:rRNA from 1 species